rnacentral:lncRNA from 1 species
GCGUAUAUUCUCAAGCACUUCAAUCCAAUCAAUAACCGAAAAGAGUUGGGAAAUCUUUUGAAGGCAUGCGUCAAGCUCGAUGUCUUAAGGAGUUGAUAGCCCUUCCAGUAAUGAGAUGGAGUGGUUAUAAUAAUCACAUGGACGUUAAGUAGGAAAAGAGAGCGUACAUGCUUAUUUUGAUUCGACGAGGAAGUCUCAAGAUUUUUGGCAUAGACAACACGAUGGCGAGGCUUAUGGAUGAUUCGAUGAAUCCCUCCUCCCCCUUUACUAUCUCCAGACCUAUUUCCUCCUUUGCUUUUCUUAAGCAAACGUCACGGACAAGAUCAUGAUGUGACAACUUUGACUUGAUCAUUGACGUGUAGAUCUUGAAUUUGAACCAUGCUUCGAUUGAUCAGCUCAUUUAAAUAACCUCUUCCUAUCUCAUCAAUACUUUACUUCUUCCUGUUGGAUCAAGCCUUGUGCAUCCCAUAUUUACUAGCCUUUUUGUGGAUAGUAAAGUCUUCUUUGAAAAAGCUAGGCACAAGAAGCAUGAUUUCAAUGGGGAGAUAAAUUUGAUAACUCAACUCCAAAAUUGUAUACGCCGCUUUCGUCCUCCCAAAUAAGAGUUUAAUUGGUAAGAACUUGUUCCCAUCCAUCUUGGUUUGUGUUUCUGAGUAAGCCUCCUACCACCUGAUAGCUAAUGGUAGACCAUCGCAUUUUUGCAAGAUUUGUGUGCCCACACUCUGAAUUCUUCUGGACAUUUGCCAAUUGUGCUGCCAAUGAAUGCCUUCUUCAACAACAAUUCCCACUUUUUUUGGAGUCUAAGAGACUCAUCUUGUGGACGUAUUGAUCAUACUUGUAAUAAUCUUGUUGCGGGUGGUAACCAACAAUCUACUUGCUUUAUCUGUCCAUCAGAGUAACGAUGAUUAAUUCAAAAAAACUCAACAAUAAUAUUUCAAAUGCUACUAUUUUUAUAUUUUUAUCUAUAUGGCUAUAGUUUUUAUAACUAUUAUAUAUUUUUUGCUAAAAUAGGUGUUGCCUCAAAAGAGUGUCCAAAUGGCAACUACAGUGAGCAUUAUAUUCAAUCAUUUUCAUAUCAUUGUGAAAGUAGAUUUAGGCAAUAAUCAUGAAGUUGCGAGCUUGUCUUAUGACACCCAUCCACACCGUGAGGAUCAGGGGCGAGCUACCUUAUAGGUUAGUGGGGCAAUUCCCUCCUAUAUUUUUUUUUUAGUUAUAUGUAAUAUAUAUAUAAUUAUAAAAAUAUGUAUUUUUGCCCCACCAAAAAUUUGAGCAAAAAGGGGCAAUCAUGUGUGAUUGGCAAAUAGGCUUAACAAAAUUUGAUUUCUUUUUUUUGGUCAUAUACCUUACGGAGAGAGAAGAUACAAAUAAAUAAAUAAAAGAUGUAUAGGAAAGAUAAAUUGUGGUUAUCUUUUUCCACAAGUUUCUUUUAUCAAAAGAAAAUAUGAAACGGUAUUCUCUUAUUAUAAAUUACCGUAUUUUCACUCUAGGUUAUGUUCUGUCUCUGUCUAUCUUCUACUGUAAUGAAAACGAAAAAAAAUAUUCAUCAACAAGUUGAGAAUUCUUUCAUCUUCACAUCGAUUUUUAACUCGAGGAUUACAAGGUAUACAAAAUCAACUACUUUAAAUACUUUUUUUUUUGUUAUUACAUAGUAUUGUUAAAUUUUUUAAUUAUUUGUCAUCAAAUAGGAGUGGACAAUUUAUUAUCAGAAAAUCAUCAAAUAUGAAUGAAGAGGCAAGUCAAAGAGAAAAAGCUCCUCAAGAACAAGUUCCGCCAUUCAAUAGUGGAAAGAGCUUUUUCUGCCAUGAAGAUUUUAAAAGCGCUUCGAAAUCGAAUGGGUGAUCGUUGGAUAAUGAUUGUUUAGCUACUUAUAUGAGAAAGAAAUUUUUGAGACAAUUGACAAUGAUGAUAUUACGUCGCUUUCAGAAUAUGAGUAAUUAGGGAAUUAUUGUAAAAAUAUUUUAGUAUUAUAUAAUUUUUGUAAAAAAUUUAUUUUUUUAUCAUGUUUUGCGCCCCGUCUUUAGGGGCCUGGCUCCGCCCCUGGUGAGGAUAGGUUCUACCCAGCCCAGAUAGCCCGACCAGAUCGAGUCCGGCCUGCCCCCACUGCCUUUUCUGUAACCUCGACCAACGUAAAUGAUACUACUCACAACAAAUGAUAGUUUUAUUAACAACAAAAAUGACACUUUUAUAAAAAAAUAAAUGAAAUCAAGCACAUAAAAUACGAUAAUUAUUUGGACCAUAAUUAUAAAACAAUACGCAUUGGCGCUUGUUAGCUAGCAAAAUAAAAUUAAUUGUUAAAAUAAUUACAUUACCUUAAUUGGAUUGAAUAAAUUGUUUUUAAAAAAUUGAAUUGAAUAAACCAUAAUUAAUUAUCACAAAAUUUAAGCAUACAAAUUGAAAGUGGAGAAGAAAUAUCCAGUAAAAUAAGAUUUAAAACAAAUUAAAAGGAUAAAUGGUAUGGUUUACCUUGUUGAUCUGGGAAAGCAGUGAUGAGAGAUUCCAAAUGUUCCUUCUCCCAAACAUCAUCCAGAACUAUCAAAUAUGAUUUUCCCUCCAACUGCUUAUGAAGCAUUUCUUUAAGCUUUUGUAGGAGAUAUAGCUUGUCCUUCAUCGACUCCUCCAAUUUCUUUAUUUCGUGAAGCAGCUUUUGUUUAUCUUCUUUAGACUUUUGUAGCUCGAAAAUUAGCUGCUUGAUCGUCUCCCUUGGUGUGAAUUCACUCGACACCACAACCCAACCACGGCGAUCAAAUGGACCAGAAACGACGUCGGGGUGGUUGUAUAUUUCCCGGGCAAGUGUGGAUUUCCCGAUUCCACCCAUGCCCUCUAACACCGCAAUGGAAAGCCCUUCUUCUCUCACAAAAUCGAUUCAUGCAGCAGCUUUUCCACAUCAUCUUUAACGCCCACAAGGUGUUCGUCUUUUUGCCAAGGAAUCAACCGCCGCCGCGAUUCAACUUCCCAUCUCGAUGCCGACUCGGCUGCCUCUCCGAGAUCCUUGAUCCCGUACCUUUCGCGACUUUUAUCAAUGGCAUCAAGCCUAACUCGGAUCGACUCAAUCUCAUCUCCAAUUUUGUCGAGGUGGUACACACGCUUUGGAGAGCUUGUACAUCUUUUGAGGAGCCCCCAAUUCUUGGCACUCUCAAUGUUGAGAAUGAACAUCUCGAUGGUAUCUUCGGCAUCUCGAGCCAACUCUCUGAUAUCAGAGAUCCAAUUACGCACCCUCUCCUCUUCAAAUUGCUUUUUGUUGGCGUCUUUGAGAAAUGAUUGCAUCCUCUUCAGCUCCUCUCUCAGCAACUCCACCUUUCCCUCGACGUCUCGCAGGAAUUCAACUUUCUGGAUGAGCAGAUUGCCCAGUAGUUCGACCAAAGAUGAGAUUGCCGCUUCCGCUGCCAUAAUGAUCGAUCACAAAAUUGCUCUGUAUAAUUUUCCGAUGCCAAUCUUUUCACGAUUUUAGGGCUUAAAUAUGGCAAACAAGCUAACACUUUUAUUCCAAUCUUCAUAAGGGUGUAAAGUAAACAUUCCAAACAAGUAUAAGAUGAGUGUUGUUUGAGCUAUAUUUUUAACUCUAGAUAUUUGAUUUAUUCGGAUAAAUCAUUUAAGCUUUAUCUUCUUCAUUUAAUCAUUUUUAAAUAGAAUAAUUAGAGAAAUUCAGAUAUACUUAUUAAAGAUUGGAGAGAAAUUCGGAUGAAUUGCAAUAAAGGAUGUUAGAGUAUAUUUAUGCUCUUUAUUAGUUGUUAUUAUGUAAGCAAUAUAGCUGGAUGUCUACGUUAUUUAGCUAGCCACGAUGAUUUAAUAUGCAGUGGCAGAUCCAAGAUUUUUAAAGUGGGGGUACGAAAAAAUAAUCUCAUAAAUAUAAAAAAUGUAAAAGAUACUUUAAUGUUAAAAAUAGUAUGUCUUAAAAUAUUGUUCAAAGAUACAAAAGAAAAUAUCAUAUAUAUAUAUGUAGUUUAAUUUUCGACAAGUCUUCAUUUCUUCAAAGCGUUUAACAACCUCAUCAUCAAAAACUUGCAGAAGCAUAUUUUUCUCAAUAAAAGUGACCAAACAAUCAUUUAAAACUUGAUCCUCCAUUUCUAUUGCGCAACUUAUUCUUGACAUAAGUCAUUUCAAAAAAAUACUCUCUCUACACUUGUAGUGGUAACUAGAAAAAUAACACCAACUUAAUUAGCAAAAACAUCGGAGGACAUCAUCGAAAGAGAACUAAAAUUAUCCAAAUUUUAAAAUUCAUAAUCUCUUCUCAUAUCCUUCAUGAAUAUAUUAAAUUAAUAAAUCAAUACUUGAAAAAUAGAAGGAUAAAAAAUUGUAAGUUUAACUAGUUUUUUUUUUUUUUUUUUAAAUAAAAAAAUCCUUUAUUAGUUAAUAUAUAUGUUGCUAUUCACACUCCACAGCCGCCUUUCUUCUUAAUAAUCAAUUUGGGAUUCUCCAUUAAAAAAAUAAAUAAAAUUGGGCCCAACCGAACAAGCCCAAAUAAACUUAUCCGAAAGUAGAAACCGAUCACACCAAGUAAAGAAACACAAAACCACACUUCAUACGAUUAAUAGGACCUUUUUUUCCAAAUAAAAUAUAGCUAUUUCCUUACCUGAUUUAUGCUUAUACUCCCUCAGUACCUGAUCAAUAGGCUCAUUUCUUUUCGGCACGGAGAUUAAGAAAUUCACUUUUUGGUAGAUAAAUGGUGUGUGGUCCACCAAAAAUUAACCUUUAAAGAGCACUCCAUGAUGAAAAAACUAAAUAGUACUCCCUUGUAACAAUUCGUGCUCUCGGCCAAAGUUGAUACAUCUUGGGCCGAGCUUAGGCUGUUGUCGGAAUCGACGAUCUCUAGGUUACGAAAAUAGCUUGCUUUUCGGAACCCGGCUUCCGCGUAAUGGCCCGAGCCCAUUUGGGUCGACGUGUGUUGGUCAUUGGCCCAGGAACUCACGACCUCGCCGCCCCAUUUGACCAUCGUGGCCCGGUCCGUUAGAUGGGUGAAUAGCUUGGUGGGGUGCUAUCACCAAAGCCCAUCCACCAAUUUCCCAAUUUGGGAUCCUAUUUUCAGACGACGUCGAUCUUCGCAACUUUUCUAUGCUCAGUUUGACAUGUUAGAGGGCACUGCAUCUCUGUCCAGCUUAUAGGAACCAUUGUUGCACCUGCACCAAGUUUAAAAUGCAUGAUCUAAGGCCAAAAAGAAAGAUGCUUAAAACAACACCGAGUUCAUUUUUUGCAGUCGACAAAUAAUAAGCUCGAGCAUCACCAAGGGAGAGAAACAUUAAGGAUAACAUAACAAUGAUGCCGAAUAAUAAAUUCAGUGAUUAUCAACUCAAUUGGCAAACUGAAUUUUAAACCAUUUCAAAGAUUGGGAUCGAGAAAAACAGAGAGUAACACGUGUAGAUUUGAUCCAACAAAGGUUUUGCAUAUAAAAGUGUCAUCAUUUAUUGAAAAAUAAAUAUGUUGGUCUGGUAUGGAGGAUACAACUAAAGCUUUGACUAUGUCGCCAGGACGGAAAGAGGAGUGCAUUUCUACUUUGUCAAUCUCCGUCGCUCUGACAUCUUGUUGCCUGUAGGGUUGUGCAUAUCGGUUUGGCCGGCCGACCGACCAAAAAAAUACAAACCGAUGGGCCGACGGUUUGGAGGAUUAAUGGGCCGAACCGACCAACGUUUGAAGACCAGCCGACCGAUCACCAAACCGUGGAAAUAAUCGGUUUUCGACCGACCGAGUAGAGCCGAGCCGAAUAGCUGAAUGAACUGGCGGCGGCGGCGCACUCGGAGAAGCAACGGUUGGAGGUGAGGCGGCGACGCGGCUCGCUCUAGUGUGGAGGUGAGGCGGCGGCGCAGAGGAAGGCUCACCGCUCUGGAACAGAGCACGUCUCGCCGGGAGGCUGGAGGCGUGGCUCGCUCUAGAAUGGAGUGCGUCUUGCCGGGAGGCUCGAGGCGCGGCGGUAAGGGAGGGCGGCUCGUCGGUCUGGAAUGGAGUGCGUCUUGCCGGAGGUGUCGCCGAUCUGAAAUGGGGCCUGGGGGUGGAGGGAGGGAAGUUUUGGUUUGGGUUAGGGGGAGGGGAGGCGCCGCAUAGAGUGAGAGAGAAGUGAGAUGAAGAUGAUUAUGAAUUUAUGGUUAGGAAAUUGGGGUGGGGAGGUGGGCGUAGCUUUAGGAAAGUAAAAAAAAAUAUUAUUAUAUAUAUUUAUCGGUCGGUUCGGUUUUCGACCGAUCAAAUUCGGGAAAAUCGAACCAGCCGAAAAAAUCGAGAUUUCUGUAAAAAAUCGGUCGAACCGACCGACCAUAGCAAAAAAACCGACCGAAAACCGAUCGGUUCGGCUUAUUUUUUUCAGUUUUUUCGGUCGGCUCGGUUUUUGCUCACCCCUAGUUGCCUGUCGCAUGUUCAAAAAUUAGUGACAAACACCCUUGGACUUCUUUCAAUGAUUCCAAGAUAAGGUACUCAUCAUCCAUAGCACUCAAAAUAAAAGCAACGCCGGUAAUUGGAAAGUAAAAAACCACAUUGAAGAUAUCAUGCAUUAACUGUGGUUUCAAUCACAAUUAGUCGAGAGAAAACGAACGAAUUUCGAACGAGCUUUUUUCGAGCCAAGCCCCGAAUAGUUCGCGAGCGGCUUGAUUAGUUUACACCCCUAAUAAAAUAACUUGAAGAAGACUUAUGGCAAAACGACUAAAAUGAGAAUGAACACUCACGUUCAAAUACAUUUACAAAACUCUAGAUAUUUGAACAAUAGGCACUCUCACUAACAAACACAAACUGGAUUCAAGAGCUAUACUUUGAAAUCCGACAAAACAAAUGAAUGCUAUAACAAAUGUUAUCCUAACACAAGAAACAACACUCGUACACACAUCACUUAAUUUCUAAGCUCAAUAUCUUCUCUCUAAGUUCGUAAUCUGAUAUGAGACUUCUCAUUGGUAUUUAUAAGCUUCCCAAUCUUGCUCUACAAGGCUGAAGUAAUGGGUUAGGUAUGGAAGGAGGAACAUCGGGAGGGUAUGAAGAAGUUGAAAGAGAUUUGUAAAAAUCUCCCGAAACUUUCAAUACCACAAGACGAGGAUGACUUAGUCCUCUACACUGACGCGAGUGAUUUCUGGUGGUCAGCUGUACUUACAAAGAUCACCCCUUAUGGAGAAGAACCUUGCAGAUACUGUAGCGGUCUUUUCUCCAACGACGAAGCUGUGCGAUGGCACAUUAACGAAAAGGAAUUCUUUGCAGUGCGAAAGGCGUUUAAAAAAUGGCCGUUUUUCUUACUUGCUAAAAAAUUCGUUUUGAAAGUAGAUAACACUAACGUGAAAGCUUUCUUAACAAAAAAGAUUGAAUCUAAACCUGAAAAGGCUAGAUUGCUUAGAUGGCAAGCAGAAUGCCAAUAUUAUGAUUAUGAUAUUGUCAUUUUGAAAUCUGAUCAGAAUGUUCUUGCAGAUUUCCUAACAAGGCAUGGAGCUCCCUGAGGUGGAGGCCAUCGAGGCAAAACAGGCGCAGCUCUUUGAAAGUUUAGAGUUGCUACAACAAGAAUGGCAAAAGUGUGUUCUACACACCAAACAAGCAGGGAAGAUACAAGCGGCUGAUGAAGCUCAAGUAUCUAACCAAAUUGAUACAUGUUUCAUGAAGAUGUUCAAUCUUCAAGAAGUAAUCAACAAGCCGCUCUUGCGCGUUAUCCGAGAUAAUCGGAUUAAAGCAAUGCUUUCCGUACAGGGCGGAUUACCUGUAGCAGGGGAUUCAAGUACCCCUAGCCCAAGUCCUGAGAAGAUGGCUUUACAGCCGGAUGCUCAAGGAGAAGAUGUUGUUAAGGGGUCACACCCUGAAUCAACAUGUCAACCCUCCACCUCUGGGGUAAAAGAGGAUGAGAUCAAUCUUAGGCCGAUGACAGGCCAAGUUAAGGUUGAUACUGAUUUUAUUGAAAUUUCUCCUUCUUGGCAGAUGUAUCAGGACAGAUGGGAGAAACUUCUCACAAGGAAGGGCAUUAAUCCGGGAAAUUGCCGGACUAUCUCCUAUUUUCUCUCCUUUUAUCUCCACUUUUCCCUUCUUUGUAGCAACAGCCGAGUCUCCCUCUCUACUCUUUGACUUGGUCGAAACCUGCAAAACAACUUAAGUGGAGAAAGACAAAACAAUGAUAACAAGAAGAGAGAUAUUUAUGGAGUUAGAAAAUCAACUCCAACAAACUCCCAUUUUUUGCCUUUCUUCACAAAACCAACAAAAAACAAGUAUACUCCCCCUUGCUGUGAUCUCCCCCUGCAUGAGUACCAAAUACCACAACAACCAAUACAACAAGUAAUAUCAAUCGACAAGUAUCACAACGUGCAAGGAUCACACCAACACAAGCACCACACAAAGAACUAAGGUCAAUACAAAAAACCAACGCACAUCAAUUCAACAACACAAGUUUAACUACCAAAGAACUAUAGAACCAUUAUUUUAGCAGCAUGCCCCAUCCACAAAAACUAAUUCAAACAAAACAGAAAUAAACUAAGAGUUUUGUGAGCUCAAAACGAAAGCUAAACAAACUCUAUCAAGCAAUCAUAGCCACAUGCUCCCCCCGCCUUCAUUCCUGGACUUGGUCUCAUGCUUCGUCCCCAGUUCCUUCAUCAUUGCCCUCAACAUCAUCUCCCCCUUUUUAGGAAGAAAGGAGAGCACGAAAAUCAUGCCUUAGUGCAGCAAUUGAUGUGGACGUGUCAGUAUAAUACUGCUUGCAAUUAAGCUCCACACUCUCCAGUCGUUUCGGACAAGAAUCAAUUAGAGUCAUUGGGACUGUGAUCGUGGCAUCUGUGGUGGCAGCCGAGACAAUAGCAUUCGGAUUUAUCCAAGGAAGGUCGACAAUUUUCCCCUCAUUGAAUAACAUAUUCCUUUAUAGACUCCAUCUUAUCCUCCGUCCUUGAGACCUUGGUGUUUGAGUACCUUGUACAUAAGAGAGUGAAAAAGUAAGGCAGAUAGUUGCGAUUUUGCAGCAAUUUGGUCAAAAAUGACCUGGCUCAAAUUGAAUGGCAAUCCCUCGCCAAUACAGUAGAGCAAUAUGCCGCGCUGCAGUGUGAUGACCGUAAAAUUGGAUGACACCACCCAAUUGAACGUCAUUAUCUUGAAUAAUGCCGAGUACAGAUAGGACAAGUUCGAAGAUUCCAUCGGCUUCAUCCACUUGCCUCCUGUGAUCACCUCUGCAACUUUGUCCAUGUCCUUUACCAAUGUGCCCUUCACAUUGGGCGUCUCAAGCAUUUCAUUGAUGAUGGCAGGGGUAAAGGUUAUAAACCUUAUUCUUGUAAAACAAUUUCCCAUACUUUCGAUUCCUUUUAUCCCCAAACUCCGUUGACAGAUUAGAAUAAACCAAUUGAACCACCCUUUUGUUAUAUGGCAUAAAUUCUGACACAGACUUUAACAAUCUACGAGAUUUAAGAAAAUCCAGCAAGUUGUAGUCGUUAAAAGAUACCUCAUCAAUGUUUCGCUCGCUGUACACGAGAGAAUUUUUGAGAUCCUUCCAGAGUUUGGCAGCCUCUGCUGUGUAGAAUGUAGGAGUGAGAGCUUUGCUAGUCUCCAUGUCUGACCCUUCGGGUUCGAGCUCAGCAACUUCUUCAUUCUCUGACUCAAUGUCAGAGUGCUGUGUGGGGGUAACAACAGGAGCAACAACCUUUGUUGUAGCAACUUUCUUUCCGUCAGAAAUCGUCUUUUGCUUGAUCUUUGUUACUACGUCAGUUACGGGUAAAUCUUCGUCGAAAACAGUCUUUUCAGGAUACUUCUCGGCAACCACCUCAGCCUCGGUCUCUUCAAUGAUGUCGUCCAGGGAUUGAGUAGGAAAGGACUCAACCUUUUCGUCCGAAAUAGGAUCUUCCUUUUCUUCGGGAGUGGAAGAUGAGGACUCUUCGUUCGCUGUGGUGGAGUCCACCAAAUGGCACUGUUUGAGAGUUCUUUUUCGGGCAUGCUUGGCUAGUGGCGACUCUGCUGAGACGAAAUCCUCAAUGACAUAAACAGUAGAUUCGAGUUUCAACUUCCUCAUGUGGUUCCGAUUUGAUCGGCGUGGAGCUUUGGGUUACCCCCACACAGCACUCUGACAGUGAGUCAGAGAAUGACGAAGUUGCUGAGCUUGAACCUGAAGGAUCAGACAUGGAAGCUAGCAAAGCUCUCACUCCUACAGUCUACACAGCAGAGGCUGCCAAACUCUGGAAGGAUCUAAAAAAUUCUCUCUUGUACAACAAGUGAAACAUUGAUCAGGUAUCUUUUAAAGACUACAACUUACUGGAUUUUCUUAAAUCUCCUAGAUUGUUAAAGUUUGUGUCAGGAGUUAUGCUAUAUAGCAAAAGGGUGGUUCCGUUGGUUUAUUCUAAUUUGUCAACGGAGUUUGGGAAUCCAAGGAAUCGAAAGUAUGGGAAAUUGUUUUACAAGAACAAGGUUUAUAACCUUACCCCUGCCAUCAUCAAUGAAAUGCUUGAGACGCCCAAUGUGAAGGGCAUAGUGGUGAAGGACAUGAACAAAGUUGCAGAGGUGAUCACAGGAGGCAAGUUGAAGAACUGGAUGAAGUCGAUUAAAUCUUCGAACUUGUCCUAUCUGCACUCGGCGUUAUUCAAGAUAAUGACGUUCAAUUGGGUGGUGUCAUCCAAUUCUACGGUCAUCACACUGCAGCACGACAUAUUGCUCUAUUGUAUUGGCGAGGGAUUGCCAUUCAAUUUGGGCCACGUCUUUUUUGACCAAAUUGCUGCUAAAUCGCAACUAUUUGCCUUGCCUUUUUCCUCUCUUGUCUACAGGGUACUCAAACACCAAAGUCUCAAGUACGGAGGAUCGGAGGAUAAGAUGGAGUCUAUACAGGAAUAUGUUAUCAAUAGCAUGUUAUUCAGUGAGGGGAAGACCGUCGACCUUCCUUGGAUAAAUAUGAAUGCUACUGUCUCUGCUGACUUAGAGAUCUUAGCCAAGCGCUGUACGGGCACAGUUGGUGUCUUAGCGUGCUAAGAGAAGAGCGAGAAAUCCAACCCAUGUGUUGGUACUGAAACGGUUUGAAAUGGUUUAUUUCAGUUGUUCGGUUUGCUGUGCACCCGUGAACAUAAGCCCAGAGUGAUUGUCAGAUUGAUCAUCUGACCAUGGACGUAGGAACUUGUUUUUUCGAACCACGUAAAAAUCCCUCGUGUUCUUUACUUGCUUUACAUUUUCAGUAUCUGUGCAUAUCUUUGUUUUAACUAAACUGUUAAUCAGAAAAGUGUAACUAAGGAAUUUUCUCCAUGUCAAAAUCUUUCAUAAGGCUAUUGCGAACUAAGUUUAAAUUUCCACUACUAGAGUUAUUUGUCUAACUGACCAAUGACCAAUCAAGUGAUAGUCAAUAAGAUCCGUAACUCUACUCUGUUUUACAAAUCGACUGAAACCAUAUCUGGACUGUUCAUUGACGAGUUCAAUCAAUUGAAGUCAUCUACUGAAUCAUUUAUCAGUAUCAGUCGCUACCCCUUUGUCAAUUGAAGCGUGCGUCAUCCAUCAGUCAAACUGUGUUUUAGUUUCUAUCAGAGGUGUUCGUGUGUUUUCGCGAAAAAUAGCCUACAGGUGUAUUUCCCCCCUCCCCCAUACACCUGUUCAGUAAACUCUCCGGGACCCAACAGUUUUGUUUGAAUUAGUUUUUGUGGAUGAGGCAUGUUUCUUAAACAAUGAUUCUAUAGUUCUUUGGUUGUUAAACUUGUGUUGCUGAAUUGAUGUGCGUUGGUUUUCUGUAUUGACCUUAGUUCUUUGUGUGGUGCUUGUGUUGGUGUGAUCCUUGCAGGUUGUGAUACUUGUCGAGUGAUAUUACUUGUUGUAUUGGUUGUUGUGGUAUUUGGUUCUCAUGCAGGGGGAGAUCACAACAAAGGGGAGUAUACUUGUUGUUUUUUGUUGGUUUUGUGAAGAAAGGCAAAAAGGGGGAGUUUGUUGGAGUUGAUUUUCUAACUCCAUAAAUAUCUCUCUUCUUGUUAUCAUUGUUUUGCUUUUCUCCACUUAAGUUGUUUUGCAGGAUUUUGACCAAGUCAAAGAGUAGAGAGGGAGACUCGACUGUUGCUACAAGGAAGGAAGAGUGGAGAGAAAAUAGGAGAUGGUUAUAGCUCCUACAUUCAAGGGAAGAAGUGGACAAGUGGAGUGUGUGCAACAAACUAUCCAACAGCCACUUAUCCACUACCUAACCCACGACUUCAGCCUUGGAGAGCAAGAUUGAGAAGCUUAUAAAUACCAAGGAGAAGUCUCAGAUCAGAUUACGAACUUAGAGAGAAGAUAUUGAGCUUAGAAAGUGAUUGUGUACGAGUGUUGUUUCUUGUGUUAGGAUAACAUUUGUUAUAGCAUUAUUUGUUUUGUCGGAUUUCGGAGUAUAGCUCUUGAAUCCAGUUUGCGUUCAUUCUCAUUUUAGUCAUUUUAUCAUAAGGCUUCUUCAUGUUAUUUUAUAACUUGAAGAAAAUUUUCCAAUUCUUGUGUUCAUCUUAUUUCCGCUGCAUUUUCUACUCUGUGCACUUGUGUGUUGCCUCAACACAGUGCGUUUCUUUUGAUUUCUUGCGGAGCAACACUUUCACAGCCCAUAAACUCGAGGAAGGCAUAUAGAAUAGAACCAUGCAAAAUCCAACUUCCCUACCAUAUCUCACAAAAUUGCCAUCUAAAUCUCCACCAGAUUCCCCUUAAAAACUCAAAUUCCGAAAAACAAGUUAUUGUGCACUAGGCAUCCUAAUCAUUUCAGCAGUAUUGACAUAAGUCAUAAGCAAAAACAAAUAAACUCAAAUUCAACUGAUAGAUCAACAAAUGAGCCGAGCUAAAAUGCGCAACUCGAAAGUAAGCUUCACAAUAUUUGGCUCGUUAGCUUGUAAAAUAUAAGACUAUCAACUAGAUAAUAGUAUGCAUAUUACAUUUUUAGGAGAAAUAAUUCAAUUUUGAAGGAAUACAAAGUUGAUUCUAUUUGAAGAGGCUACUAAGGGGGUGUUUGUCUGAGCUUAUAAGCUCUUUAAAACAACUUAUAAGCUUUUGAGAAGUGUUGGGCAAAAUAAGCUCUUAUAAACCGCUUAUAUAUUACUCCCUCCGUCCACUAAUUGUUGGCCUACUUGCCUUUUUGGUCCGUCCACCAAUUUAUGUCCUAUCUAUUUUGGGUAAGUUUAUAUUCAUAUUUUAAUCAAAAUUAUGGGUCUCUUUAAUAAAAUGUGGCCUAAUUGCAUUGACUUUAGUAAAUUGUGGGUCCCUUUCUCCACUCAACUAUAAAAUAUUUCUUAAAAUCCUGUUUUGCUUCUAGGCAAAAUUAUACGGAGGGAGUAUAAAAAUAAGCUCCAACAACGUAUAUAAGCUCUCAAAAAUUAAGUUCCUCAACCCCAAAUUAUUUUAAAUAUCCUUAUAAGCAACAACCAUUUUACAAAAUAAUCCUACAAUGAUUUUUUAUUUUUCCAGCAUAUAUCCUUUCAAUUUCAUCUCUCUAACCCCAUUCUAUUUCUAGAUUCUAUUUCUAGAGAUCAAUUAUUUAAACACUUUGACAACUUAUAAGCUCUUGAGAUAUUACACAUUACUUCUUAUGAGCCCUUGAAACAUAUUAUAAGCUCUCUAAAUAAGCUUAACCAAACACCCCUAAGACUUCAAAAUGUAAGCUAAAUUAAGCUCUAAGUCAGCUCAUAAACAAACCAAAAUCAGUCUUUCUAAUAUUUGACUAAACUUCCACAACUAAAACAAAUUAAAAAAUCAGCAGAUUGAAAAAUCUUACUCUUGCAGUAACGACAACUCCGGGCUCCGGCACCGGACCGUGUGCCUUGUGACCCUUCACCUCCACCGUCGCCUUCUUACAAACAACAAUCCACAAAUAAAUUCCCCCAAAAAAAAAUUGAAUAUUCAAUCCAAUAAAAAAUUAUGGCAUUUGAUUACCGAAUCGUCGGAGUCGGGAGGGGCAGGAGUGAGAGAGCGGAAUCCAGUGAGAGAGGCGUAUAUGGCUUUAUCGUGGGACGAGAAGUAAGCGCCGUAGCCAGGUUUCAACUCUAGAGCUUUCCCCAGCAUAUCACCCGGCGUCACGAAAUUCUCUUCUUCUCUCUCCUUCAUUGUGUUCUUUUCCUUAAGAGUUAGAGAGAGAGAGACGGAAUUCCUCUUUGCAGGUGGCGCAUACGGAGAAGAGCUCAGAGAAGCAGCAGAUUUGCCGCUCUUUGCUUUCUGUAUUCGUUUGUUUUGUUUGGGCUUUUCUUUAAGGGUUUGUUAGAAAUUUCUUUAAGAGGAAUUUGGGCCAGAUUUUGUUAAGGUGGCCCUCAUAGAUAUAUUUUUUUCGAGUGAUUAUAAAUGCGGUGUGUUUGCUUUUUAUCCAUUUAAAUAGAGGGAUAAUAAAAAUUUAUAUUUUAAAUGUUUGUUUUUUUAUUUUAUAUUUUACACAAACAUUAUUUUUUCUUCUUUAUUUUCACUUCAAAGAGGGAUAAUAUUAUCACACCAAAAAUGGUCCUUGAAGUGAAAAUAAGGAAGGAAAAAUGGUAUUUGUAUAAAAUAUGGGAUAAAAAACAAACAUUUAAAGGCAUAAAUUUUUGUUAUCCCUCCAUUUAGAGGGAUAAAAAGCAAACACACUAUAUUUUAUAUUUUGCAACCUUUCACCAUUCUCAAUACUAAUUACAACACAUUUUCACCACUUUCAUUUAACAACUUUUCUUUAAAACCUAUACCGUUCUCUACUAGAAAAUUAUUUGGGGGAUGAAUGGAGUAUGUUGCUUCUGGAUGGUUGACAUUUCAUUAGCUUUUUUCCACUUUGAGCAGUGAGAUUUAAUAUAUCCUUGGAUUUGACAGAAACUACACCUAGACUUCGACUUUUUAGGGUGUGUAAAAUUUUCAUUGGACAAUAAUGGAUAAAAAAAGUGAGAAAAUAUUACUCCCUCCGUCCGCGAUAUCAUUUCCACAUUGUGGAUGACGCGUGUUUUAAGAAAAGUGGUGGAUAGUAGUGGAUAUGUAGUGAGUGGAGUUUGGAUCCCACUAUUAUUGUGAGUGGAAGUUUGUGGACCCUACUUCUAUAAAUGGAAGUGGAAACGAUAUCGCGGACGGAUCAAACGAUAUCGCGGACGGAGGGAGUAUUAUUUUCUUCUUUUUUUUGUCACAUAUUUACUAGAUAUGAAAAGAUGAGAAAAUGUUGGAAUAUAUUUUCACACUCUUUCCCUAUGAUAAUAUUGUCCAACGUUUGAGAGAAAAUGAGUGAAAAGAAGCUGUCCGAGAAAAUAUUCCAUCCAGUCCGAAGAAAAUUUUCCAUCAUAAUAAACAUGUGAAAAUAAUGAAAAAUGAGUGAGAACAUACUUUUUCUCUCAUUUUCCAUCAAACUAAAUGCACCCUGAUGGAAAAUGAGAGAAAAUGGAGUAUAUAUUUUCACUAUUUUUUCAUCAUUUUUCACAUGUUAACUAUGAUAUAAAAUUUUUCUCUGAAUACGGUAUAAUAUUUUCUCACGUUCCUUAUUUUCACUUGUUGGGUCCCAGGGUGCUACUGAACUGGUGUAUGGGGAGGGGAAAUAUACCAGUAAGCUAUUUUUACUUUUGAAAUCUGGAAUCAGUUUCUAAUUGAAACUGAAGUGUAGUGAAAGAAUAAGAUCAGUUAAAGAGCGGGUAAAGACUGAUACUGAUAAUGAGUUAGUAAAGGUAACUUCAGUAUUUGAGACUGGUCAAUAUACUAAAGUUCAGAUAGGGUUUCAGUCUUAUCAGUUUUCGAAAUUAGAGAAGUGUAAGUAAUCUUACUGACUAUCCGAAGAUUUAUCAGUUAGACUAUUACACUUGCGCUGAAGCGAUUUAAUGUAAAAACCUUAAGUGAAUCGGAUUAUCAAUUUUAAUGGUCUAUCAUUUAAGUUAUCACUUUUUAUUUUCAGUAGGGUUAGUGCACGAAUACGAAAUAGUAAAACUAAAAGCAAUAAAAAACACAAGGAACUUUUACGUGGUUCGGAAAACAAGUCCACAGUUAGUUGAUCAAACUGACAAUCUCUCCGCUUGUGCUUACGGGUGCACAGCAAACCUAGCUUGUGCUUGCGGGUGCACAACAAACCGUGAACUGAAAAGAACUCUUUUCAGUACCAACACACUGAGUUGGAUUUCACCUUCUUAGCUUGCAGGUGCUAAGAAACCGUCUGUCUAGUUUACGAGUACUAAACAACCUAGAGUUCAGACAACUGUCUCGAACUCACUCUCAAGCUCUCUUUUCGCUCUUUUGAAAGGGGGUUCGAAUUACCAACUAGAUUACUGAGAAUAGACUCUCAGUAAUCAGAGCUUAGGCUUAGGGUUUACAAGAAAUUUGCCUAAGGAAAUAAGAGAAUGUAAGUAAUAAGUGAACUAAUUGUUGAGCUUUGGGUAUUCUCUUCUUUGAUUCAAACUUUGGAAUGCAAUGAGUUUGCUGAGUUGCGAUUUUGGCAGAGGUUCAGCUUAUGCGUUUGAAUUGGUGAAGAUUGAAGUUGAUCCUUGAGCUCUAUUUAUAGGUAGCGUCUUGAAUAGAUCCGUUGGAGGAGAUUGAUCUUUAGAAAUUUGCCAUUGUGAGACAAAAUUUGAAUCUGGGCUCAGGCUUCGAGCUUCGUUACUCCUAAUCCGAAAAGAUUUGUGUCCUUGCGUCCGUGGGAGUAUGGUGCUCCAGGCGUAUGUAGCACAAAAGAAAAAAACUUUUGUCUUUAGGAGGACGAUCUUUAUAUCUUGGCAUUUAAUGCGGUUGUACUUGUUUACUUUCCAUGUGGCUUCCUUAAAUUGGAGUUUCUGUCCGUGACAAUGAGAAUAACUCUGAGGAUUCCACUGAUAAUUGGCUUUAGUAUCAGUCCGCUAAUUCCAUCGUGGCAUGUAUUAGUAUUUUCCUAAUACUGACUGUUAACCUUAUUUUGUAAUGAGUUUUUAUGGGUGUUUAGAUGUGAUGUUGGUUUAUAUAUUGGUCUCGUUCACUCAAGAGUUAAUUAAUUUGAGCUUUUGUGCUAAUUUUGUUGGCUCAUGAUUUUUUGCUCAAAUUGAUUAAUCAAUGGAUGAAAAUAAAGUCAAAAUUGAGUUGAAUGAUCUGAAGAAGAAUUAAAGCUUGUCUCGAUAUGAAUUCGUGGACGAAAACGAAUUUAAAAUCAAACUUAUAACGAAGAGGAAUAGACAAAAACAAAAACAUCCCACCCCUUUUACAUUUAGUCUCGCCAGAAGAUUUAUGAAAGAUGGAAAUAAAGUCUGGUAUUGUAGCUUUUUGCUUUCUCUCCAUAUAUAUAUAUAUAUAUAUAUAUAUAUAUAGUUAUUNNNNNNNNNNNNNNNNNNNNNNNNNNNNNNNNNNNNNNNNNNNNNNNNNNNNNNNNNNNNNNNNNNNNNNNNNNNNNNNNNNNNNNNNNNNNNNNNNNNNNNNNNNNNNNNNNNNNNNNNNNNNNNNNNNNNNNNNNNNNNNNNNNNNNNNNNNNNNNNNNNNNNNNNNNNNNNNNNNNNNNNNNNNNNNNNNNNNNNNNNNNNNNNNNNNNNNNNNAUAACCCAAUUUUUAUUCUCACUUCAUUCUCAACACUUGAAAGAAUUAAACUUUUAGGGAAAUAUUCUAUAGGAAACGUAAACCUAAAAUUUCUAUCUAGAAAUUAAAGCAACUUAAUAUGAAAUUAAACUCAGUUUGGUCAUCAAUAAAAGCCAUUAAACUCCUUGUUAAUUGAUAUGACAAUUCAGACUAGAUCGAGAAAUAAUCACAUCAGAUAAGAGAAUAACCACUAUGUUUUUUUUUAUUAGAGACAUUGAAUUAUUCAGUCCAAGAUGUGAACACAAGUUCUAUAAACUAUAUAUAUGGAGAGAAAGCAGAAAAGCUUCAAUUCUCAAAAAAGGCUACAAUACCAGACUUUAUUUCCAUCUUUCAUAAAUCUUCUGGCGAGACUAAACUUUCAACAUAGACAUGAGUUGAACGGUAAUCGCAACAAACCUUGGGACAACGGAACACAUUAUCAUGGCGAUCAAAAACCAACAAAGUGGAUACACAAUUUACCAAAAUCUCACCGUUUGGACCCUCCACCAAUGGUGCUGGUUGAAGAAGCUCAAGAAGAUGAGAAAGAGUCACCACUUUCUCCCAAGACUCCUUCAUAACCCAAACUUGAACGACUGUUCCACAAUAAUAAUGAUUAAAAUGUAGCGCGCAAAGGCAACCACCAAGCACACCCAAUAACUUUUGAGCGCGAUACUCUUGAUCAAUGGGAAGCUCAGUCCUUCCAAACACCUCACUCUUCAAGUCUAAAAAAAUAAUAACUUCUUUAUAUCCUUUAUAAUUCGUCCAGUAAAGCUUCCCACCUGCAAACACACCCUCUUCGCAACGAUAUGUACAUAAAUCCUUGCAGUGCUCUAUUGUUUUCCAUGAUUUUGUCUUUGAACUAUAAAGUUUACCGGCCCGCUUCAACUGGUAAUUAUCAAGCACACUCACAAACACCUUGUACUCACCACUCGAUUCAACCCAACCGAAUCCAAAAUCACCAACAGAUCCGACAUUAGAAAUUUCUGGCAGUUUCUUGGAGAUUCCUGUGGAUGGAUUCCACAAGUGAAUUUCACUUGGUUUUUCGAGAAUGCAGAGCAGCCCAUUAUAGCACCCCACAAUUAGAAAUCGCAUCAAUAAUGUACCAAUAUUCGUUGGAGCAGCUAAAGGAGAUAAAGAGGUAGGAUUUGCUGGCUCACUCAUAACCGACAGCAGAGAACAUUGCACAGGCCAAUCAUUAAAAUAAUCAAACACAUAGUUCUUUAAAAUGACCCUUUGUUGGGGGAAAGAUGGGUUUUUAAUUGAAUUUUGAUGAUGGGUUUUGAUGAAACGUUCGCUAUCAAUUAAAGAGCCCCAUGAUUUCGAAACGCACCUGAACUUCAAAAGUGAAUUCACCGCAAGUCUGGAUAGUAUUUCUUCAAUGGUUUCUUCAGGAAGAUGGAGAGAUUUUCGACUACUUUUUCUGAUAUCCAUACCCAAGCUUCGAUAUAUUUUUUUAGGGAUUUAGGUUUUUGUAUUUGAAGUGGCGAGGGUUUUGGUUUUUGUAUUUAUUUCGAGCUAGGUUUCAGAAUUAGAGAGUGAUUCGGUUUGUUUGUUAAUUACUAAUUAGGGUUUACUAAUAUUCAAUUAAUUUUUGUAAUAACAUUAAUUUUUUUCAGUAUUUAACUUUUAAUUAAUUAUUGGUCACAAUUUCUUUUUAUUAGUAAUUUAUUAUUGGGACUAGUUAUUCCGUAAUUAAGGUAGGUUUUAUGUUGUUGCGAAACUCUACAAUUUAUUUCUAUUUAAAUUCUAUUUUUUAGUUUGGAAUUUGUAGUUGUAUAUUUAGACAUUUCCAUCUUGUAGGACGUGAACCUAGGGAUGACAAUGGAUUCUGGAUUCGGCUCAGAUCCGUGAAUUUAGAUUUUUUUUUUAGGAUCUAGACCUUAUAAAAGAUGGACUCGUUGGAUCUGGAUCGAAUUUGGGUUAUUCCUAUAAUUUCCGAAUCUGGAUCUGGAGCAAAAGAUUUUUGGAAAAGUCUUAGACACCUUCAUAAAAAAUCAAUUUUCAAGAGGGAAAAGAUUUUUGGACACCAGGUGUCUUAAACACCUUCAUAAAAAAUCAGUUUUUUCUUGAUGUUUAAUUUGAUCGAUUUUUUGCUAUUUAGUGAUUUGUCUAAAAUACUAUUUUCAAAAAUAUAUUCAAUCGAUUUUGUUAUUAUUUUUUAUUUUUAUAUUUUUUUUCCAAGUUCACUAAUUUUUUAUAUAAAAAUUGAAAAUAAUAACAAAAUCAGUUGAUAUCACUACAAGAAAACUGGUCGAACACUGACGGAUAUCACCGACGGACUAUUUUCCGUCGGUAGAUACCGACGGAUCACCGACUGACCGUCAUCCAGCAACAUCGCCGGAGUCGGCAUCUAUUUUCGAUGAAAAUACCGACGGAUUACCGACGGAAUCUCUACCGACGAACAAUAUCCGUCGGUAAAUUCGGUAUUUUCGAUUUUAAUAAUUAUUUUUAUUUUUUACCGACGGAAUAUCUACCGACGGAUUAAACUCCGUCGGAAAAUUGGGUAAUUUCGAAUUAAAUAAUUAUUUUUAUGUUUUGCCGACGGAUUACCGACGGAAUAUUCCGUCGGUAAUUUCAAUAUAUAUUAUUAUUUGUAUUUUUAUUUGUUUUUUUAUUUUUUUUAUUUAUUUUUAAAAUUAGUACCGACGGAUAAAGUCCGUCGGUAAAUUGUUUUUUUAUUAUUUUAUUAUUUUUAUUUUUUAUUAUUAUUUUUAUUUAUUUUUUUAUUUUAAAUUAUUUUUAAUUAAUUUUCUAUAUUAUUAUUAUUUUAAAAUUAUUGAAAAUAUUUUAAAAUUGAUAGUUAUUUUUAGCAAUAAUAUUUUCUCUUUUUAAUAAACGAUAAUAUUAAUUUUUUUUAUUAUCUUAAAUUCGAUCAUAUAUUUACCUUGAUUCUUUCGUCGGCACCACAAGUCUUAAAUAUCAUCUCGACAUAUUCUAAGGUUAUGAAUAAAUGAUAUUGUAUAUUGAAAUAGAGUUUAAAUGAAUUAAUAGGUGCUAGUUAUAUCAAUAAUACGAAUGCUCUCUACUGGCGAUCACUCGAAAGAAACUUCAAGGAUAAUACGCGUGUUCUCUACUGGCGAUCACUCGAAAGAAACUUCAAGGUUAAGCGUGCUUGACUCAGAGCACUAGUAAGAUGGGUGACUCACUGGGAAGUUGGCCAAAUCAUAUGCAAUUAAGUUCAAAAUACAUUAGAAAUACGAAAUACUUGUACGAAGAUAGGUUGAUAAAAAAAAAUGAAAAUUAAUAAUUAAAAUUAAUAAUUAAUUUACAUAUGGAAUUUUCCGUCGGUAAUCCGUCGGUAAACGCGCCACCUACCACGGCCAACGCCGGCGUCGGAGACUUACCGACGGCGAUGUCCGUCGGUAAUCCGUCAGUACCCACCGACCGACAGAAAAAAUCCGUCGGUAAAUCAUUUACCGACGAGCGUUUCAACGACGGGUGAAAUCCGUCGGUAUCUCCAUUUACCGACGGAAUUUUGAUGCUUACCGACGGAAUAUUCCGUCGGUGUUCGGCCAGAUUCUGGUUGUGUAUAUUUUUGGAAAUGAUAUUUUAGACAAAUCACUAAAUAACAAAAAAUCAGUCAAAUUAAAUAUUAAGCAAAAAUCGAUUUUUUAUGAAGGUGUCUAAGACACCUAGUAUCCAAAAAUCACUCCCCUUUUUAAAAAGACGUCUAUUGGAUUUGAUGCACAAAAUCUCUUGUACACUCGAGUGUACCAUACAUCCGGGUUGUACCCUGCCCAGAUUCUUAUAUCCACAACCUGCUUAAAAAAAAAAAGAAUCACUAAAACUCUACGGUCUCUGCCCCUUCUUUCGGCUGAAUCAUUAAAAAGUUAUGGGCGGCCAUGACCACAGCAGCAUUGCUGCCUUCUGUGUCUCUCUCUCCCGGUCGAGCGACAGCACGCUACAGUACCACCGCCAUCGCCGCCAGCCCUUCUACUUGACCGACGAGUAGCGGCAGCCCCAAUUAAGCAGUCGGCUUCGCCCCUUGUCCCUCGUUACUCCCUCGACCGACAGGAUAUGGUCCAUAUGGAAACGUGUUUUCCGGCAGCUGGGAUGCUUCUGUGUCUGAACGAGAGUGUGAAAGGGUUGGAGACGACAAAGCUGCUGUCGAUUAAAGCAACUGACAUUUUUGUUAAGCACUUCAGUAUUAUUAGUGUUCUUUGUAGAACAUGAAAGUGUUCUUUAUAAUAGUAUUAGUGUCAUUUCCAUAUAGUAUCAUUUGUAGAACAUAAUAGUAUUUUUUUUUAAUUUGAUAAUAGUGUUAUUUAUAUAAAACGAUAGUGUCAUUUCCAUAUAAUGUCAUUUGUAAAACAAUCUAGUGUCAUUUAUGUAACAUGAUAGUGUCAUUUCCAUAAUUCACGGGCGUCCUAUGCGGUGCAGAAUUUCUAGUCUUAUAUAUGCGCCAUAUCGUAGAAAGUAAAUAGAACUAGAGCACAAUUAUCAAAUAUUGCUAGUUGAUAUUGCCUUACUUUACUUAACCGAAUUCCGAUCUUAAUCGUGACAUAAUUUUUUUCUUGGGAUAAAUGAGGUUAAUAUGAACUAAAAAGAAAUACACUCAUAAGAAUUCUUUUUCUUCAUCAAUCUAAAAAAGUAUCAGCUGCCAAAGUAAACUGCCCAAUGAAAUAUAUAAGAAAUUAAAGACUAAAGAUUCUUUCGAAUAUUUUCUUCCUACCAAGCCUAUUACUUCAAACUAUUCUGAUAGAAUUUUAUUCAUCUUUUUAUGAAGAGAGUAACCUGCAAUCAAAUCGCUCGGCACAGAUUCUUGUCGGGGACAGGAGAGACUAAACUUUCGAUGUAGAGAUGCGUUUGCAAGGAAUCUCUAAUUUUCUUCAUCUGCGAAUGCACAUCAUCUCGUGCUUGAUCGUAGAGCUUAAAAUUCGACCCACGAACUAGCCGAAUCUCCGCCUCGUCGACUGCGCAAAAUGGGGCUACGGAUGGAAGAACUUCACAAGGCUCAUAAACAACACCAUCCCUCACUUUCACCCAACAAUUCUGCUUCAUUACCCACACAUCAAAGUAUGUUCUCUUCUUUUCUAAUAUCAUGGUAAGGCGACCCUCGUUCACGCCCAAGCGCACUGAUUUUGCGCCACGUGGAAGCUUCAUCACUCCAAGCUCCUCCUUCUUCAAAUCAAAUGUAGCAAUUUCAUAAUUAUCAGUCUCAUCUGUAUUCUUAAUGUGAAGCCAAUGAAGCUUUCCACUCACAAAAUGCGCCUUACUAUGUAUCAAACCGAUAUCAAAAAACUCGACUGUUUUCCAUGAAUUUGUGUUUGAACUAUAAACUCUACCCAUAAACUUUCUACUGCUAAGCAAAACCACAAACACCUUGUAUGCACCGCUCGAUUCAUCCCAACCGAAUCCGGAUAUGGACGAGGGCCAGUCUCCAUUCUCUAAUACCAAUUGUGGUAAUUCCAUGGAGAUUCUGGUGGCAGGAUUCCAUAAUAAGAAACGCCCUCUCCUGAGAUCAAUGCAGCAGCAGACCAGCCCAUUACAGCACCCCACUAUUAAUGACGGGCCCAUAUUAAUGAGCCUGUGAUGGGAAAAAGCAGUGUUUCUGGAUGCAUUUUGGAGGUGGGUUUUGAUGAAUCGUUUGCUGUCAAUCAAAGAGCGCCAUGACCUCGAAACGCACCUGAAUCUCAGGAGAGAUUUCACCGCAAGUCUUGACAGUAUUUCUUCGGUGAGUUCUUGGGGGAGAUGGAGAUAUCGGCGAGUGUUUGGGGUCUCCAUAGCUGGCGGCGGCAGUGGCUUUCGAGGGUUCGAGGUAUUUAAGAUAAAAGGGUUUUGGUUGCAGAGUUAUAAUUGGAAUAGAGUUUUACUAUUUCACAAGGGUUAGAUAUUGUCAACCAUUAUUUCAAUGUAAAUCCAUAUUUUACUAGUUUAAUACUCAUAUUUAUUAUAUAAAAUAUAAAAUUUCUAAUUAGAUACUCCCUCCGUCCCAUUAUUCAUGGCUCGUAUUCCUUUUUGGGCCGUCCCAAGCUACUUGGCUCGUUUCCUUUUUGGGACAUAAUUAAGGAACUAUUAACAACUUAAUUAAGGCAACUAUAUAAGGCAAAAUUAGAAACCCUAAAUCUACAUCUUUCCUCCUCCAAUUCCUUCCGCCGCUCUCUCUCUCUCUAUCUACUCAUAUGCGCCGCCUCCACCAUCCUCCACCACCCUCAAGCCUCUCGCCUCCUCCACCGUCUCCACCACCCUCCUGCGCCCUCCAUCAUCCUCGGACCUCUCGCCUCCGCCGCCUCCACCAUUCUCCUGUGCGCUCCACCGCCUCCACCAUCCUCCUGCGCGCCUCCACCACCCUCAACCCUCCCGUCUCCUGCGCCGCUACCACCAUCCUCCUGCGCGCUCCACCGCCUCCACCACCCUUCUGCGCGCCUCCACCACCCUCAGGCCUCUCACCUCCUGCGCCGCCUCCACCACCCUCCUGCCUCGUGCCUCGAACACCCUCCACCGCCUCGCGUCUCCACCACCCUCCCACGCCGCCUCCACUGCAAAACCCUAAGAUUUCUUUUUGUAGAGGUUCCACCGCCUCCACCCUCCACUACCUCUAUCCAAACAGAUUUCUGAUUUUGGUUGUUUUGAUUUUGAAAUUUUAAUUUUUGAUUUUUGUUGAUUUUGAAGUUUUGAGUGUUGAUUUUUGCUGUUGUUGUUGGCUCUGUUGCUGUUAAUCGGAGCAUUUUUGGGGGAAAAUGGUGUUGUUGGCUCUGUUGCAGAUUUUGGGGGAAAAUGGUGGUGUUGUAGAUGGUGGUUGUAACCUCGCCGGUGUUAAGAGUGGCGGCGCCGGCACCGGAUUUUGGGGGGGAAAUGGCGGUAUUGUAGAUACUGUGUACUUGAUUAACAACUACUAAAAUCAAUUUAAGAUAACACUAAUUAUAUGACUCACACCUUAUUUCCCUUAAUUUUUGUCUCCUAAAUACCCGUGCCGAAAAGUUUUGAGCCAUGAUUAACGGGACGGAGGGAGUAAUAAUUUAUAACUAAAAGAUAAACUAUAAAUCACUGUUUUAUCAACUACAUCUCAUGGUCUAAUUCCCCCCAACCCAAAAAAAAAAAAGAGUCAGUCUUGGGUCAGGCGGGUCUGACCAUCAGACCGGGUGGGGGCGCGGGUCGGGUGCGGGCUUGGGCAUGGGCUGGGCUGGGCGCAUAUAUAAAGUAAUCAUUGUUAUGAAGAAAAGUAGUAAUCAAUCUGAACAAAUGUAAUGUUUCAAAUUAUUGCAUUUCUUCAUAUGAAUAAUUACUUUUUUUCUAUUUUUUCAUUUAUUUCUGUUUUUUUAAAUAUUACAUUUAUUCAUAUAAAUGAUUAUUUUUUCUCUAAUUAAAUAAUGAAUACUAAACCUUAAUGGAAAUAUUUACUUUUAUGUAUCCUAAGAUAUACAUUUGUAUGCACAAAUGUAUACUUAUGUCAAUAUAAAUAUUUCCUAUCAUUCAAUAUUUUUCUACAACCUAAAUCCUGAAUACUAAACCCUAAAUAAUCAAUACUAAACCCUAAACAUUGAAUACUAAACCCUAAACUUUGAAUAUUAAACCCUAAAUAAUGAAUACUAAACCCUAAUGGGAAUAUUAAACCCUAAAUAAUGAAUAUUAAACCCUAAACCUUGAAUAUUAAACCCUAAAUAUACAUUUAUUUGAUCAAAUAACGAAAAGUACAAAUUCUAAUGAAUAAAAGUAACAAUUAUCGUGAACAAAUGUAAUAAUUUAAAAACAUUACAUUUCUUCAUAAUAAUAAUACUUUUUAUUAUAACAUUAGUUACUUUUUAGGAUUUAGGUGGGGAGGGAGGGCUUCCGGGUUCGGGCACGGGUCGGACGGCGGGUCAGACCCGGUCUGACCGUCAGACCCGCCUGACCCAAGAAUUUGCGGAAAAAAAAAAACAUCUCAUUAUCAUGAUUAAAUGACCUGAGAUUGCUCAAGAUUGAAUUAGUUCGAAAUUGAUUUUAUUAAAAGGGAUACCAAGACUUAUAAGGCCAGACUAAUUAUAUAAGCGACAUUCUUUCGAGUCUAAGAGGUGUUUGGUCGAGUUUAUAAGCUUUUUAAAACAGUUUAUAAGGCCUUCAAAUUGUUUGACAAAAUAAGCUUCUAAACAACUUUAGUUGUAAAAAUAAGUUUCAACAACUUAUAAAUUCUCAAAAGCAUAAAUUUCUAUAUCCUAACAUAUUUUUUCAUAAUAUUAUACUCCCUUCGUCCACAAUAUCGUUUCCACUUUGUGGACGACACGAGUUUUAAGAAAGUAGCGAAUAGUAUGUUGAUAGUAGUGAAUAUUAUUGUGAGUGGAGCUUGGAUCUCACUAUUGUUGCAGUGGAGUUUGUGGACCUUACUAUUAUAAAUGGGAGUGGAAAUGAUAUUGUGGACAGACCAAAAUAGUAAAAGUGGAAACGAUAUUGUGGACAGAAGGAGUAUGCAAUAAUCAGUUUACAAAAACUAUACAACUAUGAUUUGUUACCCUACUAAGUUCAUCUCUCUUCGAUUUUCUCUCUAAUAAGGAUUUUUUCUAUUUAGUUUAUAAGCUCAAUUAUCCAAACAUUUAGACAACUUAUAAGCUAAUGAGAAACUACAUAUUAUAAAGGGUUAUUAGCGCCUAAAUACACCAAUUUUGGGAGUAGUUUGGUUUUGUACAUGAACUUUGAAAGGUGUAAAAAAAAUACAUGAACUUUAAUAUUGUAGCAAUUUUAUCAAAAAUUCAAUUUCUAGAUGUUCAAACUCUAUAAAAAUUCUACGUACGAUUUAGAGGUUUAGAGAUAUCUUAUACAAUAUCCUUCAGAGAUGUCUUAUACGAUGCUAUUUUUUAAAACGUCCAAUGAGUAAACGUCGAUAUUUUGACUUGCCACACAUAAGCUUUAAUUUGUGUAAAAAUUGAAUUUGUGGCAAAAUUACUACAACAAUAAAGUUCAUGUAUUUUCUUACACCUUUCAAAGUUCAUGUGCAAAACCAAAUUAUCCCCAAAGUUGGUGUAUUUAUUUUAGAAGCUAAUAAUCCUAUUAUAAAUUCUUCAAAUAUUUUAUAAGAUAUUGGAGCUUAUAAGCUUAGCCAAACAACGCAUUAUAAAAUUAAGUUUUGUCUAUAAAACUAAAUCUUGUCUAAUCCAUCAAACUAAAAACAAACCCCCCAUAUAAAAUAGUAGGGCAUGUUAGUCUUGCCAACAAAUGAACUUAUCCGAAAGUAGAAACCGAUCACACCAAGUAAAGAAAUACAAAACCACACUUUAUACGACUAAUAAUUACCUUUUUCCAAAUAAAAUAUAACUAUUUCCUUACCUGUUUUAUGCUUAUCUAAUACACUUCCUUCCCCACAAACACAUACAAAACUUGAAAAUCGAAACGAGCAAAAACAUGGUCGGAAUUGGAAAUAGCACCAAUUCUACAAAUCUUAGUAAACUAGAAAAAGAAUUCGGACUUCGGGCUGGGCCGGAUGCCUUAUGAUUACGGGCACUGCGGGCUUUUUCUUGAUGUAGUAACAAUUCGUGCUCUCGGCCAAAGUUGAUAUAUCUUGGGCCGAUCUUAGACUAUUGUCGGAGUCAACGAUCUCUAGGUUACAAAAAUAGCUUGCUUUUCCGAACCCGGCUUCCACGUAAUGGCCCGAGCCCAUUUGGGUCGAUGUGUGUUGGUCGUUGGCCCGGGAAUUCACGACCUCGCCGCUGCACUCGACCAUCGUGGCCCAGUCCGUUAGAUGGGUGAAUAGCUCGGUGGGCCAGUAGCCCACUAAGGUACUAUCACCAAAGCCCAUCCACCACUUUCCCAAUUUGGGAUCCUAUUUUCAGACGACGUCGAUCUUCGCGACUUUCUAUGCUCAGUUUGACCUGUUAGAGGGCACUGCAUCUAGAAACCAUUGUUGCACCUACACAAGUUUAAAAUGCAUGAUCUAAGGCAAAAAAAAAGAUGCUUAAACGAGCACGAGAAAUGGAAGAUUUGAACUAAAUGGAAAACCAAGAACGAGGUUAUUAGAAUUGUUAUACAAGCUGUCAAGUUUGGCAAUCCUUCCCCUCUAUGUGGAAGGAACCUGCUUCAGAAAUGUAACAAUAAUUCACGAUAAGCUCGUGAAGAGCCCAAUCCCCACGAUCACGCAAGGGCCAAAAUUAAGACUACUUAUACUAAUUAAGACUCCUAAGCAUAAUAGGCCUAAUAAACGGGAUUAAUAAUAUAACCCAACUUAACAAUAUUAAGCUAGACAUAAAUUAGUAGUCAAAAUAAUAAACAACAUAAGAUUCUUUUUGCAUUAAAAGCAAAUUGGGCCGAAAAGAACAAUUUCAGCCUCCCGUCUACACGUUCCUUAGGGAGGCUAUUAAUGACAAAGGCUUCUGAAAUUAUACGAAGAAAAGUACAUUAUACUUGAUACUUGGAAGUCAUCCACAAUUAUUAAUCGAUGAAAGAUGUAGCUGCACAGGCAGCCAAGUGGGCAAGUUUCAAUAGCAUAAAUGGAGAGAGAAGUUCGUACCAGCAACACUUUCUGCUGAAACCACACCGAGUUCAUUCUUUGCAGUCGACAAAUAAUAAGCUCGAGCAUCACCAAGGGACAGCUUUUCAAGGGAGAAACAUUAAGGAUAACAUAACAAUGAUGCCGAAUAAUAAAAUCAGUGAUUAUCAACUCAAUUGGUAAACUGAAUUUUAAACCAUUUCAAAGAUUGCGAUCGAGAAAAACAGAGAGUAAUACGUGUAGAUUUUAUCUAACAAAGGUUUUGCAUAUAAAAGUGUCAUCAUUUAUCGAAAAAUAAAUAUGUUGGUCUGGUAUGGAGGAUACGACUAAAGCUUUGACUAUGUCGCCAGGACGGAAAGAGGAGUGCAUUUCUACUUUGUCAAUCUCCGUCGCUCUGACAUCUUGCUGCCUGUCAUAUGUUCAAAAAAUUAGUGACAAACACCCUUGGACUUCUAUCAGUGAUUCCAAGACAAGGUACUCGUCAUUCACAGCACUCAAAAUAAAAGCAAUGCCGGUAAUUGGAAAGUGAAAAAAUCGCAAUGAAGAUAUCAUGUGCAUUAACUGUGGUCUCAAUCACAAUUAGUCGAGAGAAAAGCCAACAAUGCCUAAAAGAGUAAAAGUUAUUUCACAUACCUAAUGAUGCCCGUGAAUUUUUCUCGUACGGACUUGGGCCCUACACAUACUAUAUCUGUGGAAGCCAUUUUAGCCAUCACCUUCGUAACCUGUCACAACGACAAGGAAUAAACAUAAGCAUAAUCAGAACCGUCUCAAGGUUUCACAACUUGCAAUCAGCAACCUUUUCUUAACUAUGAUCCCUUUCUAAAACCAAAGCGCUUUACAAAUGGAUUCAGCCUAUAAACUCGUGGAAUGCAUAUAGAAUAGAACCAUGCAAAAUCCAACUUCCCUACCAUAUCUCACAAAAUUGCCAUCUAAAUCUCCACUAGAUUCCCCUUAAAAACUCAAAUUCCAAAACAAGCUAGUUGUGCACUAGGCAUCCUAAUCAUUUCAGCAGUAUUGACAUAAGCAAAACAAAUAAACUCAAACUCAAGAUAUCAACUCGAAAUGAGCCAGCUAAAAUACGCAACUCGAAAUUAAGCUUGACAACAUUCGGCUCGUUCGUUAGCUUGUAAAUAUAAGACUAUCAACUAGAUAAUAGUAUGCACAUUACAUUUUUAGAAGAAAUAAUUCAAUUUUGAAGGAAUACAAAGUUGAUUACAUUUGAAGAGGCUACUAAGGAGGUGUAUGGCUGAGCUUAUAAGCUCCUUAAAACAACUUAUAAGCUUUUGAAAGUGUUUGACAAAAUAAGCUCCACAAAAAUAGUUCUUCAACCCCAAUUAAUUUUUUCAUAACCUUACAAGCAACAAUCAUUUUACAAAAUAAUCCUACUGCGAAUUUUUUAUUUUCAAUAUAUAUCCUUCCGAUUUCAUCUCUAUAACUCACAAUUCUAUCUCUAGAGGUCAAUUAUGCAAACAUUUUAACAAGUUAUAAGCUCUUGAGAAAUUACAUCUUAUAUACCGUUAGAACAUCUAUAAGCCCUAAGACUUCAAAAUGUUAGCUAAAUUAAGCUCUAACUCAGCUCAUAAACAAACCAAAAUCAGUCUUUCUAAUAUUCACUAAACUUCCAAACAAAAAAAUUAAAAAUAAAUCAGCAGAUUGAAAAAUCUUACUCUCGCAGUAACAACAACUCCGGGCUCCGGCACCGGACCGUGUGCCUUGUGACCCUUCACCUCCACCGUCGCCCUCUAACAAACAAAAAUCCACAAAUAAAUUCCCCCCCAAAAAAAAAAAAUUAGAAUAUUCAAUCCAAUAAAAAAUUAUGGCAUUUGAUUACCGGGUCGUCGGAGUCGGGAGGGGCAGGAGUGAGAGAGCGGAAUCCAGUGAGAGAGGCGUAUAUGGCUUUAUCGUGGGACGAGAAGUAAGCGCCGUAGCCAGGUUUCAACUCUAGAGCUUUCCCAGAUAUCACCCGGCGUCACGAAAUUCUCUUCUUCUCUCUCCUUCAUUGUUUCUUUCCUUAAGAGUAGAGAGAGAGAGAGGAGAGACGGAUUCCUCUUUGCAGGUGGCUGCCAAACGGAGAAGACCUCAGAGAAGCAGCAGAUUUGCCGCUCUUUGUUUCUGUAUUCGUUUAUUUUGUUUGGGCUUUUCUUUGGUUUAUUAGAAAUUUCUUUAAGAGGAAUUUGGGCCAGAUUUUGUUGAGGUGGCCCACAUGGAUAUAUUUUUCUCGACCAAUUUUAAACAAAGUUUUCAAUUUUCUCACAAUAGCUCUUUAUUUUAAAAAAAUAAUAAAAAUAAUUAUAAUUGUACUAGAAAAAAAAAAUCAGAGAAAUCCCAAUACAAAAUUGAAAUAUAGACAUAAAAAGAAUGGUGAUAAAAUAUUGUUUGGCCGUAGCAACCACGAGUGGUGUGAGGAAAGCAACAAGUCGGGCAAAUCAGUCCUUUGCCUAUAAGUACCGCGUGGGAUCCAACAGGCAUAGAGGAGAAGGAUAAGAAAGGAAGAUCAAAGUAGCGCAGCAGACGGGCGAGGUAGGAACUCAGUGUGGAGGCUUGAUAUGGGCAGAAGGUGGCAGCGACAAAGAAGAGGCCGACAGGGUCAAACCAGCACUCCGUCCAUAUAAGGAAAGAAAUCUCGACAAAAUUAGGUCUGAAGAUUUGGUCGCAUCUCUAGGAUUCUGGAUCCAGCCGCAACAUCAUGGACUUAGCCUUCUCUAGCCCUAAUCGCCUCGAUUAAUACUUGAAGGGCUCCUUGGAGAGCAAUCCAUUCAGAGACUGGUUGCUGCGCAAGGAUUUUAUUUUGCUGAAGUUUAAGCUUUGCCCAGGCAGUGGGUGUAGUUAGUUUUAUUUUUGCUUAUGUUUGGAACGACACUUUUGGCCGUAAGUACUUAUUUACUUUAAGCAAUAUCAAUUCACUACUUUGCCUUUAUGUUUUUCAUUAUGUCUUUUGCAUUUGUUCUUUACUUUAUGUCUAGCUAAUUUUAUAUUCUGAUUUGGGCGAGAUGGUCUAAGCAUGAGCACUUAACUCGAGAGAUCUAAUUUGGGCAAAAUAACUACAUGCGUAUAUUCUCGAUACACUAGAUUUGAUUAAAAUACAAUUUGGGCAACUUGGUUAAUUAACUGAUCACUAGUUAACUAGGGAGUUUUGUCUACAAGUAACCUCUGGGCAAAGGCAAAAUGUCAUCGACCCCCCCCCCCGGAGAGUAUAACGAGUGUUGGAGCCGUGACUGUGGUGAAAUAUUCCAUGCAAUAGUCAAGUUUGAUCUAUCUAAGGGGGGUGUAUUCGUUGUGGAAUUUGAUGGAUUUCUAUGGAUUUUAAAAGUCUGGGUGUAUUCGUUCAAGACUUUUAAAAGUCUGCAGAAAUCUGGGUGUAUUCGUUCAAGACUUUUAAAAGUCCAUAUAAAUCUGGGUGUAUUCGUUCAAGACUUUUUAAAAUCCAUACAAAUCUAGGUGUAUUCGUUAUUCCAUUGACUUAAAAUCCAGAAUGACUUUCAUGGAUUUCAUCCAAAAAAUACACACGACGAAAUCCGGCCAAGAACCACGAGAAUUGAAAUCCAUGAAGUUUUAAGCGAGCGCUGAACUCCAGCGCCCGCGGCCAAGAAACCAGCGAGCGCUGGAACUCAGCGAGCGCUGGAACAGAGGAUAUUGGUGAUUAUCCUCACCUCACUAACAGAACUCAACGAGCGCUGGAAAAUUAAAAUCUUCAAGCACCACUAAUCCUAAAAGAAGCUACACUUACCUCGAGAAUACUAGGAACAGCGAGAAUCUCAGAGAAAGCAAAGAGGAAGGGGUGCGAAGUGGCCUCAACGACGAUGUUUGCUAGUGCCGGGCCCUUAAGAGUCGAAGCCUUCUUCACAAAAUAGUCUAUGUGCUCAGUCCGAAGAAAUACAGCAACACGGCAGCGGCGAUCAGUCCGAAGACGGCGUAAACGAAAGGUCUCGCCGUGUCGGGGAGCAUCACGGCCGCCAGAGACGCCACCGCAAUGCAGCCGGAGUAAAGCAGCACGUGAUGAGCGAGAGAGGCGAAGCGGUGGAGAGGGAAGCGGAGCACGGCGGCGUAGGCGAAGAAUAAGACGACGGAGCUGGCGACGGCGACGCACAUUGCAGCGGGAUGGGUUGCGAAGAGGGACUGGGUGUGAUCAUCGAUGGGCUGAUACUUGAGUUGCAGGAAUGGUUGGAGAGUGAGAAUUGCGGAGCACAAGAUGCGGUUGAACUGAUCCAUCAACUGCAGUCAGUCGGAACGGGAGAGGUAGCGGCGCUCGGCAGAGAACUGAUUGGAAAAUGUAGGUUAACGUUUUUGUAAUGAUACGUGCAAGGUCCUCGAAUGGUUCGUGAUGUAUUUCGUCUCGCAAAAGAAAAUGCACCUGCCAUAGUUUUCAUUGAUGAGGUAGAUGCAAUUGCUACUACAAGAUUUGAUGCUCAAACAGGAGCUGAUAGAGAGGUCCAACGAAUUCUCAUGGAAUUGUUGAAUCAUGUAGUUUUUUAGGCUUACGAGUUGAUGACACUAAUAAGACCAUGGCUUAAGAUUUUCUAUUCAAAGAAUGUCACAAUUGCAAUACUGAACACUUGGUCCAGAAGGGUGUGGUGUCUGAGCUAUUCAAUGUCUCAUCUACCAUGAUAUCCGCAUUCUGAUAGUUAAUUCCCAGCGGUCGCUGGAACCCAGCGGUCCUGGGACUCAGCGGGCGUUGGUUUUAUGGAAUUCAAUUCCAAAAUUAUCCCGUAAAGUCUUCGAAAAUCAGUGAAAAUCGAGGUGAAAUCCAACCACGAAUUCUUUGAAAGUCGUCUGGAAUCUAUGUGAAUUCCAUGGAAUUUAAAUUCCAUGGACUUUUUAAAGUCUGUGGAAAUCCACAACGAAUACACCCCCUAAAUCUUAAUGCAUCUUGGGCAAAACACUCUCAAGCGAGAGGCCAACGUAGGGAAUGGAUGUUCCUUGUGAUAGUUAACUUCCAUUAGCUGAUAACUUCUAAGGGGUUAUAUAUGUACUGAAAGGAUAGAUUGGGCAAGGGACUAUUACGUGCGUGACGCAUGACAAUUGGGGGUGUAGCUAUCUUUUGCAUAUAACUAACUGGUAUACAAGUGUAGUGAAAUAUCUUUGAACCAAUGACUGAGUGUCUAGUUCAUGUUUAGUGAGUCAAACUCAAGUCAGAAUCGUUUUGCUAUUUGAUCAAGUUACUUUUGUAAUUUUAGUUUGGUCCGAAACCUUGUUAUGCCCAUAAACAAGUUGUGGUCAGAACCAUCAGAAACAAAAUCAUUUUUAGUGACACUCUUGCAGGAGAGAUUACACUCAGUUCCUUGUAGAUUCGACUCUGGACUUACUGCUAGCUAACUUAGUUGUAGGCACAUGAUAAAUUUAUUUGCACGAAGCUUAAACGACGGCUUCGUCACAUAACAAUCGAUCUUUCUACUGGCAAAUCCAAACGCGUAGAUUUCUCUUCGUACUAUAGAAGUUGUCGGGACAGUUGUUAUCCUUCGGUAAAGCCUUUUGAAAAAGCGAAGAUAACUGAUUGAAACAUCUCUCUAACAUGUGGUUUUCAACCUUUAUGCUCAUGAAUUGUGUCAUAAAGGAUAACUGUGAGUAAGUAUCACAGGCAGGGUAUAAUGGAUUAUCGGCUGAGUUCAACAUGUUAUAAAUUUGUUGAGGGACAGGAUUGGGCGGCUCCUCGAGAUUUGGAGGAUAUUCAAUAUUACUAGGACCAACAUGAUCAUACACCAUCCUUUUGUAGUUAUUGUAUGACUCAUCAUCCUCAUCCAUUCUAAUUGAAAAAAAAUAUAUAUCAUAAACUACUUGAAUCAAACGAAAUUUCGGCAACAUAACUCCACUAUCAUAACUACCAAGUGCUCGACUCUACCAGCAACUAUGUUAACCACAAUGGUUCUAAUUUACAUGGUCUACCCGGCCCCCAAUUGUUCAAGCAAUAAAAGAUACAAUAAUCAAAUUAAAAGCAAUCAUUUGUUGGGAGAAGAUCUGUAAAAAGUUAUUAAUUUCUAUCCCAAAGGGAGACGAUCUGUCGCAGCCUGCCUUAACUAAGGAUAGUUAAGCCGAGUGGUCUACGAUUAGGGAUGAGAUUAAAGAAUAAGGGGAAGAAAGGGGCGUCAUUUGGAACCGUAAAAGUUACUUAACUUAAGAAAACUCAUCAUAAUUACUCAUUAAUGCUCAAUUAAACAGUCUAUGAAAGAUGACAUAAAACUCAAUUAAUAACAUUAAUUCAAGUUAUACAUCAUAGGAAACCAUUCUCUUAAGACUCAAAGUACGACAUAACAUAACAUCAAAAGUAUUUUGCAGCGGAGACAUAUGUAUGAACUAUGAAGACAUAUUCUAGACAGGUUAACUUUAUUUAUUAACAACCCUGGGGACUCCGCUCAUUACAGCACCAUCACCACAUCGGUUCAACCUGCACAGUUAGAAAACAUAUGCAGGGCUGAGUACAAAAGCACUCAGUGAACACAUGCAAGCAUCUCAUGCUUAUAAAGCUAUAAAUAUUGUCAUUGUCAUUCUUAAACAAAACAUAAGGGAUUUGUCUAAAAGCCUUAUGUUCACUAAACUCAUUUUCAUUUCUCAAAGUUGACUGGCCAGUCUAUGUUCUCAAGUAAGUACCAUAUCUGUUAACUCAUGUACUGAGAGAGAGGCCUCCCUCUGCAGCACUGUAAUCGGCCAACCUGAAAGCUGACUCACGAUUACCGUGUACACUAAUUCUACCUCGUGUAGAACCGAUAUCAUUAUGCUCAGACAGAUAGAUAACAUUCUAAAAUCUCAAAUAUUUUGGCAAUGCAAUAACUUCAAAAUAGAUUUUCAGUUCAAUCAUAAAUCAAUACAUAAAACGCGUAAACAUCUUUAUUUUAGCGUAGAAAAGCCCACCUCGUUGUGUCUUUGUAUCAACGGGGAAUAUCACUCUCUCCCCCACGUCUUUACUCCCCAAAAGGACCUUCAUCGUUAUGAAGAAUCGAUGAGAAGAAGGGUCAUUAAAAAGAAAACUCAAUUAUUAUUCUAAACUCUUUUAUGAAACAUUAGUAUCUCUAAUGUUCAUUUUUCUAAGUUAUCAAUAAUUAUAGCCAUUAACCUAUUAGGAAGUUAAACUUUCCAUUAGGCAGGUAUUUGAGUUACAAGUCAACAGGAAUUGACUAUGCUCAAAUCCUAAUUUCAAUAAGAAAUUAUAAUGAUAAUUUGAUGAUAUAUCAAAAUAUUCACUAAUAAUUUCAGCAUGACCUCUUCGUACAUAGCGUCAGCCACGAGAUUUCAACGCGGGAAUCCCACCACGCGAACUCGUCUCUCCACUCAAAACUUAACAUCUUGACAUCUCAUCAACACAAACCAACAAUUUAAAAACAUCAAAGACUCUUUAUCAGUCAACUAUCAUUUAUACUCGAAACCAAAUAUUCGAAUGUCAGAUACCAAUAUUUAUGUGCGUUAAUCAUAACUCUCACACUCACUCUAUUUAGACACAUAAUUGAUAUCAAACUCAAAUAAUAAAUUAUAUCUUAACAAUUUAAUAUGCUCAAAAUUCUCAACUAAAUCUCGGACUUAGUAAUUAAAUACUAAAUUCCAACUUAAAUUAAUUAACAUGCUUCUCUAGUUUAUUUAUCUCAUUUAAAUAUAAUAAAUCUAACUCGUGCAAUUCUCAUACUUGGCUAUUUCAUAUGCAUUUCUUAUGCAAACUCAAAAAGCUCAAUAACUUACUUAUGCUCAUCUCAUAAAUACUUAAAUAAUUCAUGUAGUCAUACUAACAUAUCAUUAACUCAUAUGAAGUGUUAGUUUAUUUACAUGACUUCACAUACUCUACAUAUUUCAAUCUAGUAAAUCAUCGAAUAAUUAGAAAAUUUGUAUAUAAUGAAAAUAAAUUCCCAAAAUAUAAAUACAAAUACUUUUUAUUAUUCUAAACAUAUUGGCAUGCUCAAAUUAACUCAAUUAAGACUCAAUUAUCCAUAUCUGGGCAUCAAAUCAUUCGGUCCUCAUUCUUCCCGUUUCUAGCAUUUUUCAAAAAUUACCAAAUUAAUAUAGCAUGCUCAUGUGAUAUCGUAGAACACAUAUAUGCAAUAAUAUUCAUCAUGCAACGUCCCAAGCGUCACGAAUUUAAAUAAUCAUGCUCUAAAAACUCAUACAAAUUCCGUGCUUGGAAAAAUACGAAUUUAAUAUAUAACAAUCCUAGCAUACCCCUAUGAACAACAUAUUAAAAAUUCACGACGAUCCGACAUCGUUUCAAAAUAAAGUCGAGAAAUCGACGUUUUUCGACGUCGACUAAACUCAAAAAUCUAACCAUCAAAAUGGAGGUAGAGAUGACACCUACCUAGAUACGUAUUCGAAAAGAUGAUCGAGGCUCGUCUCCUCGCUCAAAACGGAGCUAAAAAACUCCACCCAAGCUUUAAAGGAAAAAGGCGUGAGUGUUGUGUGUGUUUUAGGUGUUAGUGCUUGUGUGAUUAAAGUGAUUAAGUGUUUGGCUGAAUAUCAGCCGAGAUAUUAAGGGAAUGGGGCUUUGGGAGGUUGGGGAGGGGGGGGGGGGUGGUUAGGGUAGGGGUAGGUAGAUAUUUAGGAAUUUAAUCAUUUUAUUAAUCGUUAAAUAACUCGUUUCGUCUCGAUUUAACGAUUAACUAUCCAUACUCUUCGUUACUCGCCCUCUCAACUCCCACUCACUUUCAUUACACUCGUAAUUCUAUAUAAAUAUAGAAAACGCAAGCUCAUUCUCGAAAUUCUAAUAAACGAGCUCUAUUCGUUUAUCGAUAAAUUUCGGUUUACUAUUCACUCGUCUUCCAAAAAUAAAAACUUUCAUUAUUGAACUCGUAACGAAAAACUAAGAAUAUUUCUCGACGACGCGCACUUAAGAUUUUGAAAGUCGGCAAAAUGACUAAAUAACAAUUAUACUAUUCAUCGUAAAAAAAAAGUUAAAAUUUCAAAAAUAUCUUAACGGACUCAUAUCUCAUUUCCGAGUUCAUCAUUCUUAUUCAAAUAAUUAUCUCAAAUUAUUCAAAUACUCAUACUCAAAUACGGAUAUAAAAUCUCAUAUCAUCUAGAUAUAAAAAAUAUUGACUUCUCAACAACUGUAAUAAUAAUAAAGAAAAAUUCUAAAUAACUUCUCAUAUCUCUAUAAAAUUAAAGAAGGGAGCUAAACCUUAAUUACUCAAACUUAAGCAAUUAAACAAGUUAAAAAAAGCCCGGGUAUUAGACGAUCCUUAAGAAAUUGAUUAAAUCUAUCCCACAAUAUUGUAGCAUAUAUGUAAUCAUUUUAUCCUAAACACAUACUAGCAUAUACUUAAACAUUUAUCAACAUACUUAUUCAAAUUUAUAACAAUAAAUUUACUUAUCUAACAAAUUUACUUAUUCAUACUUAAUCAUACUUAAUCUAACUAAUUUAUCUAAAAUAAAUAAAUUAAUCUAACAAAUUCAUACUUAAUCAUAUUUAAUCUAACAAAUUCAUACUUAAUCAUACUAUAAAUUAAUUAAAAUUUACUUAUUCAUACUUAAUCUAACAAAUUUAUCUAUGAAGAAUAAUAGUAAAUAAAUAAAUAAAAUUGGCGAGAGCGUACGGUGAUUGGGGGUGGCGCGGCUGCGGUGGUGGCUGGACAAAAUAGAGAGUGAGCAGGUCAGAGAGAGAGCGACCAGGAGAGAGAAAGAGAGAGAGAGAGAGAGACGAAAGGGAGGGAGACUUACCUGGCGGUGAUCGAAGACGACGGUGACAGAGACAAAGACGGAGAGGAGGGAGGCGCAGGCGGUAAUGUGCAGGUAGGGCACAUUCUGCCCGAUUUUAUCUCGAAAAUUACCGACGGCAUGUUCCGUCAGUACCAGCCGACCCGUGUCAAGAUCACCGACGGUAGCCCAGGCCGCCGGUAAUCACCGACGGCAGCCGUCAUCGAUAAUAUUAAAACACAAUAAUUAAAUGACAAAUUAAUAUUCACCGAUGGCGAUCCACGCCAUCGGUAAUCACCGACGACGGUCGCCGUCGACAAGUGUGUUAUAUCUGAUCCGUCUAUUUUGUCGUCCGUAAAUAGUCGGUAAUUACCGAGGGUCGGCAUGUCCUCGAUAAUUUUUCUCGGUAUUUGCCCUUUUUUUGUAGUGUAACACAUUUAACAUUAUAUUAUAUUAUAUUAUAGGGUUAAUAAAAGUUUUCACUAUGAACAACACAAACCAAUUUUUUAUUUGACCUGAUAUUAAGGCAGUGACUGAUUUUAUUCAAAGGUUAAUAACUAGAUUUACACUUUAUAGUGAUUUUCUAUCUUAGUUUAAAUAUUGCUAUCUUACAUUUUGGUGAUUUUAAAAUUUUUAAAUGGCCUUAACAUUUUGUUGACUAUGAUAUUUCUAACGGUGCCCAAGAUUUGAAAAAUGACAAGUGGUUCAAUACUUCUUUAGUGAGAACCACUAAAGACAUCAUAAACUCAAAUAAGAUAAAAAUAAUAUUAAUAUCCAUGCUUUUUUAAGGUCAUAUUAAUAUCCAUAUUGAGGUGUUUCGAUCAUAAUAGUAUUACAAUACAAGUAUUUAUCUUACUAUUUCUCUCAAUUUAUUGGUUGACACCUAUGUAAAGGUACAGUAAUAGAUUUUUACCUCACAAAAUCAUGAUACUACGAAACCUGCAGAAAUAAAAGAGGCUAUAAAAGUGUUUUAAAGGAAAGUAAAGUCGGAUAUCAUUGCAAAAGGUGCAAUAAGCCAAUUUAACUACCAUUGUAAAUUAUAAGGUUUUUCUAUUACUCCCUCCGUCCACAAAAUUAAUGAGUACCCAUUUAUGGACGGCACGCGUUUAAAAAAAUAUAUUAAUGUAGUGUGAAUAGAAUAAGGCUCUCAUUUUUUUAGAAUAUUAAUUAAAGGGUUGCGUGAAGUACACUUGUUAAAAGGGAAAAUAGGUACUCAUUUCGUGGACGGACGAAAAAGAAAAUAUGAUCACUCAUUUCGUGGACGGAGGGAGUAUUAUUUUUUCUAAGUUAAAGCGUACUAUUAUAUGCAUUUAAUGACUAUUUAUUUUAUAUCUCAUUAUUAAAUUUUUGAUAAAGAUAAAUGAAUUAUACUUUCAGUUCUUUCUUAUUUUACAAUAUCCAAAUCAUACUGAUCUAUUGUCUUUUUUGAAUUAUUAUUUUAGAUAUUACAUGAAGGUGCUUGUGGAAGAUGACACUGAGUAGGGGUUUUUACAUUGUUCCGAGGACUGUGUGCUUUAAUUACUGAAAAAAAUUGCUACUCAAUUAUUAGAAUAGAUGGAUUGGAGAGUGAGGCGGCAAUUCAUUCUCUAAAAAAAAAAGAUCACUUAAUCAUUCAAAUUUUAAAUUUUAAUCAUUUUUAAUUUUAUUUUUAAAAAGACCACUUAAUCUAAAAUUUAAAUUUUAAAUUUGAAAAAGAUAUAGUAUUUAAAUUUGAAUUUGAAAUUUAGAUAUUGUCUAUCGUCAUUUAUAUGUUGAUGCUCAAGCACGCACUUUUGAAAUUGCAUGUCACAUUUUGUGAAAACAAAUUAUCUUUACUUUUUAAUGUGAUAAACAACGUUUGACUCACAUGUACAUGCCUAGUAGACCCUUAAUGUUUAUAUCUAAAUUUAUUUUAUAAAAAAUAAGCAAGCACUUCUUAGUAUACUUUUUUAGUUGUUUGUCCGUAUAAAAAUAUUAUUAAAUUUUAAAAUAUAUUUAUCUUCUUUUUGUUUCUUGCAAAAAAUAGAUGUCGAAAAAGCAACGAAAAAACCACUUUAUAAUAUAUAUAUAUUAUAGUCUGAAAUGUAAUGUAAACUUAUUUUUUAAGUAAUAAAUUUCAAUUAUCAUGGCAUUUAUUUUAAUUAAAUGUGUUAAUAUUAUCACUUUAUAAUAUUUAAGAAUUUGUUAAUAUAUCAAAACUUUAAAAUAACAAGGUCAAAAGAUACUCGUCGAAUUUCGACGGGUUAUCCACUACUAGGGGUAACAACGUUCCCCCAAUUACAAUUUAUCUGUCAAGUUUAAGAAUUAAAUUAUUUUAAUUAUUUCAAGACCUAUAUACAUGGCAUUGGAAAAUCACUUUAAUCUAGUAUCUACAAAUAAAAGAGCUAAAAUAAUAAUAUUUAUAGCAAAUUGUAAUUAUUUUAAUGCUAGUAUAUUAUUUCUAUACGAGAAUUUGAAAUAUGUUUAACCACAUUUAUAAAUUAAAUUCUUUUUUUGAGAUAAUACAAAUUAAAUUAUUGUAUUUGAAAGUAAAUUAUGAUUUAAAGCAACAUGAAUUUAGUUCUAUGUUAUUAUACCAAAACAGCCCAUUAUUAUUCUCGUUCAAGUUUAUCACAUUUUCAAGAAAAUGUGAUUUGUAAUAUUCUGAUAUUCUUCAAAUGGUUCGUUUCUUCUCAUCACCCGUAAUAUUAUGUCAUUUUUCAGUGCCACCAUAAUGGGUGAUUAAUUAAGUGGCUCAUAUUUGAUUCCUAUUAAAAUAAUGGACGUGAUUAAUUGAAAAUUAAUUACCAUGCGUUAAGGUUAAUUUGGGAAAAAUAAAUUUUCCUUAAUCAAUGUGCAAAAGUGUAGAACACAAAUUAAUGUUUCAACAAGCACAAGAAUAACAGAAGAUGAGUAAAGUAAAGUUGAUCAGUUUAUUGAGUAAAUAUGUUGAUGUGUUGCGGUAGAUUCCCAGUCUUCAGAUUGGGGCAUACACGGAUUCGGAGAUGUUUGAGCUUCGGCAUUCCACCUUCUUCUAUGAAGACGCUCUUCACAUCCAAAUCUUGAAAAGCCAGGGCUUCGAGGCUGGGGAACCCGUCGCACAAAACUCGCAUCGUUUCACCUUUGUAAGCAUCAAUCUGUAUCUUGAGAAAGAGCAGCUUUGGAAGCUUACCCAGCUCUGCCAUUGGAUCAUCACGUAAGAAGGAAUGCGUCAACGUGAGGUGAGAAAGAUUUGGAGGGAACAUAUUAAGUGAAGUAUGACAAGAUUCUGCAUCUUCUCCAAUGACGCUCUCGCUUUGAUCAACUCUUCACGCUUUAUCCCUCCUAACCGUAUGCCUAAUUCACGAAGAUGGCAACUACUCGUUAGAGUUGACUUCAUCCAAUCCUUGAGACUUAUUCCUGUCAAACACUCAAUAUUUUUAUUACACAUGUUUUUAUUUGUCGGUCCACCGCGAAUACCUGCGCUGAUGAAGUAACGUAGAUUGUCCAUUUUCAAUGAAACUAGUCUUGGAAAAUAUACCCGGCACGAUUCCAUGUCAACAACCUCGAGGUUUCUAAGAUGAUCAAACCAGUCUGGGAGUUUUAUGUCGGCUCUAUAAUUUGUGUACAUUCUCAAGCACUUCAAUCCAAUCAAUAACCGAAAAGAGUUAGGAAAUUUUGAAGGCAAUGGCGUCAAGCUCGACUGUCUUAAGGAGUUGAUAGCCCUUCCAGUAAUGAGAUGGAGUGGUUAUAUAUUCGGAAUCAUCAUGGACGUUAAGUAGGAAAAGAGAGCGUACAUGCUUAUUUUGAUUCGACGAGGAAGUCUCAAG